rnacentral:rRNA from 1 species
AACGAACGCUGGCGGCAUGCCUAACACAUGCAAGUCGAACGAGAUCUUCGGGUCUAGUGGCGCACGGGUGCGUAACGCGUGGGAAUCUGCCCUUUGGUUCGGAAUAACAGUUGGAAACGACUGCUAAUACCGGAUGAUGACGAAAGUCCAAAGAUUUAUCGCCAGAGGAUGAGCCCGCGUAGGAUUAGCUAGUUGGUGUGGUAAAGGCGCACCAAGGCGACGAUCCUUAGCUGGUCUGAGAGGAUGAUCAGCCACACUGGGACUGAGACACGGCGCAGACUCGUACGGGAGGCAGCAGUGGGGAAUAUUGGACAAUGGGCGAAGGCCUGAUCCAGCAAUGCCGCGUGAGUGAUGAAGGCCUUAGGGUUGUAAAGCUCUUUUACCCGGGAGGAUAAUGACAGUACCGGGAGAAUAAGCUCCGGCUAACUCCGUGCCAGCCGCCGCCGUAA